rnacentral:rRNA from 1 species
GACGAACGCUGGCGGCGUGCCUAACACAUGUAAGUCGCACGGGAUUCGGGGGGCAACUCUCGAAUUCAGUGGCAGACGGGUGCGUAACACGUGAGAAACUUGUCCAACGGCGGGGGAUAGCCGGCCCAACGGCCGGGUAAUACCGCAUACGACCAUUUGGGGGCAUCCCUGAAUGAGGAAAGCAGCCGCAAGGUUGCGCCGAUGGAGAGUCUCGCGGCCUAUCAGCUAGNGGCGGGGUAACGGCCCACCAAGGCAACGACGGGUAGCUGGUCUGAGAGGAUGGCCAGCCACAUUGGGACUGAGACACGGCCCAGACUCCUACGGGAGGCAGCAGUGGGGAAUCUUGCGCAAUGGCCGCAAGGCUGACGCAGCGACGCCGCGUGUGGGAUGACGGCCU